rnacentral:rRNA from 1 species
GAUGGACGCUGGCGGCGUGCUUAACACAUGCAAGUCGAACGAAGCACUUUAUUUGAUUUCCUUCGGGACUGAUUAUUUUGUGACUGAGUGGCGGACGGGUGAGUAACGCGUGGGUAACCUGCCUUGUACAGGGGGAUAACAGUUGGAAACGGCUGCUAAUACCGCAUAAGCGCACAGCAUCGCAUGAUGCAGUGUGAAAAACUCCGGUGGUGUAAGAUGGACCCGCGUUGGAUUAGCUAGUUGGUGAGGUAACGGCCCACCAAGGCGACGAUCCAUAGCCGACCUGAGAGGGUGACCGGCCACAUUGGGACUGAGACACGGCCCAAACUCCUACGGGAGGCAGCAGUGGGGAAUAUUGCACAAUGGGCGAAAGCCUGAUGCAGCGACGCCGCGUGAGCGAAGAAGUAUUUCGGUAUGUAAAGCUCUAUCAGCAGGGAAGAUAAUGACGGUACCUGACUAAGAAGCACCGGCUAAAUACGUG